UAGGGAAUCUUCCACAAUGGGCGCAAGCCUGAUGGAGCAACACCGCGUGAGUGAAGAAGGGUUUCGGCUCGUAAAGCUCUGUUGUUGGAGAAGAACGUGCGUGAGAGUAACUGUUCACGCAGUGACGGUAUCCAACCAGAAAGUCACGGCUAACUACGUGCCAGCAGCCGCGGUAAUACGUAGGUGGCAAGCGUUAUCCGGAUUUAUUGGGCGUAAAGCGAGCGCAGGCGGUUGCUUAGGUCUGAUGUGAAAGCCUUCGGCUUAACCGAAGAAGGGCAUCGGAAACCGGGCGACUUGAGUGCAGAAGAGGACAGUGGAACUCCAUGUGUAGCGGUGGAAUGCGUAGAUAUAUGGAAGAACACCAGUGGCGAAGGCGGCUGUCUAGUCUGCAACUGACGCUGAGGCUCGAAAGCAUGGGUAGCGAACAGGAUUAGAUACCCUGGUAGUCCAUGCCGUAAACGAUGAGUGCUAGGUGUUGGAGGGUUUCCGCCCUUCAGUGCCGGAGCUAACGCAUUAAGCACUCCGCCUGGGGAGUACGACCGCAAGGUUG
rnacentral:rRNA from 1 species